rnacentral:rRNA from 1 species
GUGAGGAAUUUUCCGCAAUGGGCGAAAGCCUGACGGAGCAAUGCCGCGUGAAGGAUGAAGGCCUAUGGGUUGUAAACUUCUUUUCUCAGAAAAGAAUUAUGACGGUAUCUGAGGAAUAAGCAUCGGCUAACUCUGUGCCAGCAGCCGCGGUAAGACAGAGGAUGCAAGCGUUAUCCGGAAUGAUGGGGCGUAAAGCGUCUGUAGGUUGUUUAAAAAGUAUUCUGUCAAAGAUUAGGGCUUAACCCUAGAUAGGCAGUAUAAACUUUUAAGCUAGAGUUUGGUAGAGGCAGAGGGAAUUCCCGGUGGAGCGGUGAAAUGCGUAGAUAUCGGGAGGAACACCAAAGGCGAAGGCACUCUGCUGGGCCAAUACUAACACUGAGAGACGAAAGCGAGGGGAGCAAAUGGGAUUAGAAACCCUUGUAGUCC